rnacentral:misc_RNA from 1 species
CCCGGCACCGUGGCGCUGCGG